GACGAACGCUGGCGGCGUGCUUAACACAUGCAAGUCGAACGGUGAAAGCGGAGCUUGCUCCGCUGGAUCAGUGGCGAACGGGUGAGUAACACGUGGGCAACCUGCCCCUCACUUCGGGAUAACUCCGGGAAACCGGGGCUAAUACCGGAUAUGACCUCCUUGGGCAUCCUUGGAGGUGGAAAGUUUUUCGGUGAGGGAUGGGCCCGCGGCCUAUCAGCUUGUUGGUGAGGUAGUGGCUCACCAAGGCGACGACGGGUAGCCGGCCUGAGAGGGCGACCGGCCACACUGGGACUGAGACACGGCCCAGACUCCUACGGGAGGCAGCAGUGGGGAAUAUUGCGCAAUGGGCGAAAGCCUGACGCAGCAACGCCGCGUGCGGGAUGAAGGCCUUCGGGUUGUAAACCGCUUUCAGCAGGGAAGAAGCCGCAAGGUGACGGUACCUGCAGAAGAAGCACCGGCUAACUACGUGCCAGCAGCCGCCGUAA
rnacentral:rRNA from 1 species